rnacentral:rRNA from 1 species
CCCUUCGGGGAACCUGGAGACAGGUGGUGCAUGGUUGUCGUCAGCUCGUGUCGUGAGAUGUUGGGUUAAGUCCCGCAACGAGCGCAACCCUCGACCUUAGUUGCCAGCAUUCAGUUGGGCACUCUAAGGUGACUGCCGGACUAAAGUCGGAGAAGGGUGGGGAUGACGUCAAAUCAUCAUGCCCCUUAUGACCUGGGCUACACACGUGCUACAAUGGGCGGUACAAAGGGUCGCGAACCCGCGAGGGGGAGCCAAUCCCAAAAAGCCGCUCUCAGUUCGGAUUGCAGGCUGCAACUCGCCUGCAUGAAGCCGGAAUCGCUAGUAAUCGCGGAUCAGCAUGCCGCGGUGAAUACGUUCCCGGGCCUU